AUUGAACGCUGGCGGCAGGCCUAACACAUGCAAGUCGAACGAGUGGCGAACGGGUGAGUAAUGUCUGGGAAACUGCCUGAUGGAGGGGGAUAACCACUGGAAAAGGUAGCUAAUACCGCAAACCAUCAGAUGUGCCCAGAUGGGAUUGGCUUGUUGGUGGGGUAACGGCUCACCAAGGCGAUGAUCCCUAGCUGGUCCGAGAGGAUGACCGGCCCCACUGGAACGGAGACACGGUCCAGACUCCUACGGGAGGCAGCAGUGGGGAAUAUUGCACAAGGGGCGCAAGCCUGAUGCAGCCAUGCCGCGUGUAUGAAGAAGGCCUUCGGGUUGUAAAGUACUUUCAGCGGGGAGGCGUUACCCGCAGAAGAAGCACCGGCUAACUCCGUGCCAGCAGCCGCGGUAAUAC
rnacentral:rRNA from 1 species